ACGAGUAUGCCGAAAUUGGUAGCCGGGUGAAUCUUAGGAAUUUAUGAUUUUGAAUCGUAAGAGUUCAAGUCUCUUUACUCGUA
rnacentral:tRNA from 1 species